AGAUUGUGAUAAGGACAACAACGAAAUAAUUCUUUGUAUUUUUCCCAAGCCUCAUACAACAAUUCAAAAUCUUGCAGCAUGAAUAAUGUGAUAUCAUUCCUCAUUUU
rnacentral:snoRNA from 1 species